rnacentral:ncRNA from 2 species
AAUCCUGAGGAGCGUUGCGACGACCCUGCGGUUCCCGCCAGCUUGUACGGCUGCGGAACCAGGCUCGCCAGGCUCAGGAAUCCUUGUUCAAGCGGCGCGCUUUGCGCGGCGCUACAGCAACGGCGCUCACCUUUG